GCGAGAACUUGUUUUUCCGGGAUGGAAAUGACAGUGUUUCGGAAGAGCUGUUGGUUUCAAACUAUUUAGAGCUUGGAAGUUCCAAGAAAGACACAGAUUCGUCCCCCGCUAAGCCAGCACUUUUACGGGAUCGCUGUGGGGCCGGAUGGCUUCUAGACUUCCGGGUGAUUCCGGGAGAUGGGGGACGCCUUGCACUCUGCUUUCCUCUCCUUGUGGAAUUCUAAAGGCUGUAGUCACAAGAUACCAGCCAGCAGCAAUAACUGGAGAACUUUCUUCAUUGUCCGUGACAAGAGAGUUACUCUCCCCAAACAGUCUAUCUUUCAAUCCAACUGGACCAACUUAGGCCAUGUUCCCAUUCUUAGCUCAGUAAUACUAGGGAAAUACCCUAAGCCUGUGUUUCUGAAAAUGGUUGGGGAGAGGUGAGGUGACAUUUGGUAAUGUCUGGAGACAUUUAUGGUUGUCACAACUGUGGGGGGUGGGUCCUACUGGUAUCUAGUAUAUAGAGACCAGGGAUACUGCUAAACAUUUUACAAGGCACAGAACAGCUCCCCACCACAAAGAAUUAUAUGGCUCAAAAUAGUACCAGGGUUGAGAAGCCCUGCUUUAAGCUUAUUAUUUUAAGUCUAUAUUCCUAACUAAGCACUGUCAAGAGGAUGAGAUUAUCAUUAUUAGAUUAAAUUUAUCAGAACCUACUACAGCUCUGAAUAGGUUCUGCUUCCCUAGGUACAUUAAGGGCGAACACCUAAACUAAAAGGAAGUGUUACAAGAGGAAAAAGGGGCAUGAGCAACCAAUAGUAUCCAUAAAAGAGCUGCUUAUUUUUGUAAUUGUGAAAGUAUAUAUCUAUUUUUAAAGUAUGGAUAAGCAUCGAAUGUAAAUUCUUUAUAUCAGUAGUUACAUAAUGCAAUUAUUCAUAAUUUUACAUUUUUAUCAGUAUUUUCUACCUUUUAUAGUGAAAUUUUCUCCUUUAAUAUAUUGAAUUUACAGUGA
rnacentral:lncRNA from 1 species